AAGAACACAUGUUGGGUCUCAGAGCCUUGCACAAGUUGCAUACUAGAAGCAAAUUACCAGUGAGAUGUUAGAAGAUAACUGAGUUAUUAAGACUAGUGCUAAUACGCUCCAGAAGAAGAUGAUUUAGUUAUUGAUUUUGGAUGGUUAAAAGUUUUACGGCAAAGAUCAAACAAAUCCAUACUCUUGUUCCGUCCAUAAGUGAACUAUAUAUCCAUGUGUGGUCAGGUGAGCAACUCUGCUUCUGGAUGGUACAGGCUCAACUAGAGCGAGAGGGCAGAGGACCUUCUCCCUAGCCGGAGACAAAUGGCGUCAUGGCAUUCUUUGGUCUUUUGGAGCUGACAAAGCGUGGUUUUCCUCCGGUGAUAGGCCACUUUCAUAGACAAUGCCUCCUCUUUGCCUUGGUAGUUUGAUCGCGGGUUCGAUGAAGGCAUCAAUGUUCAAGCUCAUGCACAGAAGAGUAGAAAAGUCAAAUGGAGGUGCUUGCAAUUGUUAGAUCAUUUAGACAUGUUAACAAUCACAUUACUGAGUUACUGAUACAAAACAUUUUCCUUGAAUUACUCAUCCAUACUGGUUCUAAAUUGCACGGUAAUUUGCUUGUCAUUGCAAAAAUGAAACUGUUUUCACUUAAAAUAAAUACAAUCCCAUAAUCCUUGGUUGAACCAGUUUCUAAUCUGAAAGNNNNNNNNNNNNNNNNNNNNNNNNNNNNNNNNNNNNNNNNNNNNNNNNNNNNNNNNNNNNNNNNNNNNNNNNNNNNNNNNNNNNNNNNNNNNNNNNNNNNGACGUCACGAGGGUUUCCUGAAUGGUCCGGAAACGAAGAUUGAUAUAUAGGAUGACCUCAUUUGAUUAGCGGAAGGUUUUCGGAGUUACCGGGAAUGAUGAAUGGGUUCCGGGUGUUCACCGGGGGGGCAACCCACCCCGGGGAAGCCCAUAGGCCUUAAGGGUGGCGCACCCGCCCUUAGUGGGCUGGUGGGACAGCCCAAAAGGGGCCCUAUGCGCAUUGGAAGAAAAAAAAAGAGAAAGAAAAAAAAGAGGAGGUGGGAAGGGAAGGAAGGACUCCCACCCACCAAACCAAGUCCAACUCGGUUUGGGGGGGGAGACCUUCCCCCCUUGGCUCGGCCGACCGCCUUGAGCCCCAAGGCAAGGUCCCCUCCCUCCCACCUAUAUAUACGGAGGUUUUAGGGCUGAUUUGAGAUGACUUUUCCACGGCAGCCCGACCACAUACCUCCACGGUUUUUCCUCUAGAUCGCGUUUCUACGGAGCUCGGGCGGAGCCCUGCUGAGACGAGAUCAUCACCAACCUCCGGAGCGCCGUCACGCUGUCGGAGAACUCUUCUACCUCUCUGUCUCUCUUGCUGGAUCANNNNNNNNNNNNNNNNNNNNNNNNNNNNNNNNNNNNNNNNNNNNNNNNNNNNNNNNNNNNNNNNNNNNNNNNNNNNNNNNNNNNNNNNNNNNNNNNNNNNAAUGUUGUUCGGAGUCCCGGAUGAGAUCACGGACGUCACGAGGGUUUUUGUAAUGGUCCGGAAACGAAGAUUGAUAUAUAGGAUGACCUCAUUUGAUUACCGGAAGGUUUUCGGAGUUACCGGGAAUGUACCGGGAAUGACGAAUGGGUUCCGGAUGUUCACGGGGGGGGGGGGGGAGGGGAACCCACCCCGGGUAAGCCCAUAGGCCUUAAGGGUGGCGCACCAGCCCUUAGUGGGCUGGUGGAACAGCCCAAAAGGGUCCCUAUGCGCAUUGGAAGAAAAAUCAAAGAGAAAGAAAAAAAAAGAGAGGAGGUGGGAAGGGAAGGAAGGACUCCCACCCACCAAACCAAGUCCAACUCGGUUUGGGGGGGCGAGACCUUCCCCCCUUGGCUCGGCCGACCACCUUGGGGCUCCUUGAGCCCCAAGGCAAGGUCCCCUCCCUCCCACCUAUAUAUACGGAGGUUUUAGGGCUGAUUUGAGACGACUUUGCCACGGCAGCCUGACCACAUACCUCCACGGNNNNNNNNNNNNNNNNNNNNNNNNNNNNNNNNNNNNNNNNNNNNNNNNNNNNNNNNNNNNNNNNNNNNNNNNNNNNNNNNNNNNNNNNNNNNNNNNNNNNCUCUCUUGUUGGAAUUCCAACUACAUCCAUUGUUUUAUUUCUUUGCAAGUUGUUGUAAAAGAAAUAAAAAAAAACAAGCAAGUGAGGGAGAGAGAGUAGCCAGCCGGCCACUUGGGCCUCCAGCCGGCCCAAGUCUCGUGCGCCCCGCUAGCCCUAGCGUUCUCCCUCUGCCCGAUCCCCAUCUCCUCUCUCGUCCCUCUCCUCCCGACGCCCCGAUCCCAUCUUCCUCCUCCCACGUCGGGCACCCAGCGCCUCCUCCCCCGUCUCGAUCUCUCCUCUCGAUCCCCUCCUUGGGACCCCCUAGACCGAUUCCCCGUCUCCCCUCUUUGUUCCCCUCGCUCGCGCCCAGGGUGGAGCUCCCCUGCCCGAGCCGGUCGUCGUUCCCGCCAUGGCGACCUCGCCCCGAGCUCGUCGCCCCGCCGGCCGUUCUCCUCGACUCGCUGCACGCCCCCUGCCGGUGCAGUGCCCUUCGCGCCCAGGCUCCACGCCGGGCCCGAGGUAGCCCCUGUCGAAGCUCUCCAGCGCGACCCCCUCCUCCUAUCGCCCCCGAGGCCUCAUCCUCCCCCUUCGCGACAUGGCGCCGUCGCCGCCUGGCUCCUCCAGCCGGGCCGCCCUAGCCCCUCGUCGGAGGUUUGCCUCGCCCUGCAGAGCCGCCGCGCCGACCGUUAGUCGCUGUUGUGUUGCUUGUUGCUGCUUGCUGCUGCCGCUAUGCUGCUUGUUGUUGCUUGCUGCUUGUUGCCGCCGCUGUUGAUGCUUGUUGUCGCUGAUGCUGUUGUUGAUGCUUGCCAUGCCUGCUAUUGUAGCUACUGGGUUGCUUGCUGCUUGCGUUGCCUGCUGCCGCCGAUGUUGCUUGUUGUUGUUGCUAUGCCGCCGAUGCUGCUUGAUGUUGCUUGCUGCCGCCGAUGUUGCUUGUUGUUGUUGCUAUGCCGCCGAUGCUGCUUGAUGUUGCUUGCUGCCUGCUGCCGCCGAUGCUGCUUGUUGUUGUUGCUUGCUGUAGCUGUUGCGUUGCUAGCUGCUGUCGCUGAUGCUUGCUGUUGCUGUGCCUGCUAGCUGUUGUCGCUGAUGUUGCUGCUGCCGCUUGCUGCCUGUUCCUGUUGCGUUGGAGCCCUGCUUGCAGAAACCACCGCUGCGGCUUGCUGCUUUUGUCGCUAGCUGUUGUUGUUCGAUGCUGAAGGUUUGCAUUUGGCCUUUGGUCAGGUCGCCCGAUAAUUCGCUGCUGAUUCGAGGCCUUUUGUGUUGCUUCGAUUUGGACACUUCACCUCUCAACGCAAGACCNNNNNNNNNNNNNNNNNNNNNNNNNNNNNNNNNNNNNNNNNNNNNNNNNNNNNNNNNNNNNNNNNNNNNNNNNNNNNNNNNNNNNNNNNNNNNNNNNNNNCAUGUAGUUGUCAGUUGUCUUCACAUCCACAUGAGCUUCAAUGAGGGUCUGCUAAGCCUCCGAGUGUAUCUCGAGUAUACACUCGGAGGAAGCUUUUUACUUAGGCGACUCUGAGUCGCAGCUAAGUCCCCAAGUGUGACUUUUCGUGCAUGCUCAGAGUGAGUUCGUAUUUAGGCGAUUCUGGGUCGCAGCUAAGUCCCCGAGUGUGACUUUUAGUGCGCACUCGGAGCGAGUUGUUANGACUCUGGGUCGCGGCUAAGUCCCCGAGUGCGACUGUUAGUGCGCACUCGGAGCGAGUUUGUACUUAGGCGACUCUGGGUCGCAGCUAAGUCCCCGAGUGCAACUUUUAGUGCACACUAGUUUUUUAGACAGGAGUCUGCAAAUGCGGAAGAAUUUUGAAUCGGCAAGAAAUCAAUCUGCUUUGUAUUACUUCAAUGAUACUUGCUCUUUACAUUGUCUCCGUCGGCAGUUAUGUGUAGAAGCGCUUCGGUAGAUCUCCAUUCCAUGCUCGCGGCUCGUCCGUUUCCCUGUCGAGGUUGUAGAGUCGAUAUGCUCCGUUGUUCAGCACCUUAGAGAUGAUGAACGGUCCUUCCUAGGCGGGAGCCAACUUGUGUGGUCUCUGCUGAUCCACUCGGAGCACCAGGUCGCCUGCUUGGAAUGUGCGGCUCCUGACGUGCCGCGCGUGGAAUCGCCGCAGAUCUUGUUGACAAAUUGUUGAACGGAUCAGCGCCAUCUCGCGCUCUUCUUCUAGAAGAUCCACUCCGUCUUGCCUGGCUUGCUCUGCUUCGACUUUGGAGAAGAGUUCGACUCGUGGAGAGUUGUGAAGCAAGUCACUUGGAAGGACUGCCUCUGCUCCAUAAACGAGGAAGAACGGGGAUCGCCCUGUCGAUCUAUUCGGAGUUGUGCGGAGGCCCCACAGCACCGAAGGCAGCUCGGUGACCCAUGCGCCGGCGGCAUGUCCAACUUCUCGCAGGAGUCGAGGCUUCAACCCUUGAAGAAUAAGUCCAUUCGCCCGCUCUGCUUGCCUGUUUGUUUGGGGGUGCGAUACGGAUGCAAAAUCCACUCGGAUACCUUGGCCUGUGCAAAAACCUUUGAACCUGUCCGAGUCAAAGUUUGUGCCAUUUUCGGUGAUUAUGCUGUGCGGAACACCGUAUCUGGCGAUGAUGUCUCUGGUAAAUUUGAUGGUCGUAAGGGCAUCAAGCUUCUUGAUGGGCUUGGCUUCAAUCCACUUGGUAAACUUGUCGACUGCUACUAGCAGAUGAGUGAAUCCUCCUUGGCCUGUUCUGAAUGGUCCGACUGUAUCCAAUCCCCACACGGCGAAUGGCCAAGCAAGAGGAAUUGUCUUCAGCGCAGACGUUGGCUUGUGGGACUUGUUUGAAUAGAACUGACAACCUUCGCAACGGUCGACCAUAUCUUUUGCCAUUUCAUUGGCCUGCAACCAGAAAAAACCAGCUCUGAAUGCUUUGGCGACGAUUGCCCUUGAGGAUUCAUGAUGUCCGCAAGUUCUCGAGUGGAUUUCCUCCAAGAUUAACUGCCCCUCCUCAGGAGAGAUACACCGCUGAAGAACGCCUGACACACUUUUCCUGUAUAACUGGUCAUCAAUGACGGUGAAGGACUUCGACCUGCGAACGAUCUGCCUAGCUUGGACUUCGUCUUCUGGUAACUCUUGCCUCAUGAUGUAUGCAAUGAACGGCACAGUCCAUUCGGGAAUGACAGCUAGAAUCUCCAUGAUCAAAUCAACCACAGCAGGGACCUCGACUUCAGUCUGAUCUGUUGAGCUCUUCGGUUGUACCGGUUCCUCUGUAAAAGGGUCUUCUUUUACCAAGGGAAGGUGUAGGUGCUCGAGGCACACAUCACUCGGGACCGGUCUCCGAGUGGAUCCAAGUUUUGCCAAUUCAUCUGUUGCUUGGUUUUUCAGUCGGGGAACAUGGUGAAGUUCCAGACCUUCGAACUUCUUCUCGAGCUUCCUUACUGCGUUGCAGUAUGCAGUCAUGGUGGGGUUCCUUACAUCCCACUCCUUCAUUACUUGAUUAACCACCAGAUCUGAGUCGACAUAGACCAUCAGGCGACGGACGCCGAGUGUGAUGGCCAUGCGCAACCCGUAAAGGAGAGCUUCGUACUCUGCUUCGUUGUUGGAAGAAUCAAAAUGUAUCUGCAACACAUACUUGAGUUUAUCACCUUUUGGGGAUAUGAUCACUACGCCGGCGCCGGAGCCAUUCAACAUCUUGGACCCAUCGAAGAACAUGGUCCAAUGAGCCGAGUAUAUGUGAGUCGGUUGUUGUUGUUCUACUCAUUCUGCUAUGAAGUCAGCCAGAGCUUGAGACUUUAUAGCUUUCUUGGCUUCGAACUUGAUGUCGCAGUAUAGCAUCUCCAUUGCCCACUUUGCCACUCGUCCUGAUGCGUCCCGAUUGUGGAGAAUUUCCGACAACUGAGCAUCAGAUAUGACAGACACCGAGUGGUCUUGGAAAUAAUGAGCCACCUUCUUUGCAGUCAUGUAGAUCCCAUAAAUAAGCUUCUGAUAAUGGGGAUACCUCUACUUGGAAGGAGUCAGGACUUCAAAGACAUAAUAUACUGGCCGCUGAACCUUGUACGCUUUGCCUUCUUCUUCACGUUCGACUGUCAGAACGGUGCUGACGACUUGAUUUGUAGCCCCGAUGUACAGAAGAAGGGGUUCUUUACUGAGCGGGACAGUAAGAACCGGCUGGGUGGAAAGCAGGGCUUUGAGGUCGUCGAAUGCAAUUUGGGCUUCGUCUGUCCACUCGAAGGUAUCUGACUUCUUCAUGGGCCGAGUCGAGCGAUAAACCUGCUUAAAGCCGCUAGGCAACCUGUGAGCCUUUGAACAUCAUGUAUUCUUACCGGCCGCUCCAUUCGGACGAUGGUCCCGUUCUUUUCGGGGUUGACAUCGAUCCCUCGUUCGGAAACAAAGAAACUGAGUAACUUCCCGCUGGGAACGCCGAAUGAGCACUUGGCUGGGUUGAGCUUGAUAUCGUACCUAUGUAGGUUGGCGAAUGUUUCUGCCAAGUCAGUCAGCAGGUCGGAACCUUUGCGUGACUUGACUACGAUAUCGUCCAUAUAUGCCUCCACAUUUCGACCGAUUUGGUCAAGGAGGCAUUUUUUGAUCAUGCGCAUAAAAGUUGCUCCUACAUUCUUCAAACCGAAUGGCAUAGUGAUGUAACAGAAACACCCGAAUGGGGUGAUGAAGGCUGUUUUUAAUUCAUCCAGACCAUACAAACGGAUCUGAUGAUAGCCCGAAUAGGCAUCAAGGAAGGAUAAACGCUCGCAACCCGCAGUCGAAUCAACAAUUUGAUCAAUGCGGGGGAGCGGGAAGUGAUCUUUCGGACAGACCUUAUUGAGAUGCUUGAAAUCGAUGCACAUACGAAGAGACUUGUCCUUCUUAGGCACCAUGAAAACAUUAGCGAGCCACUCGGAGUGGUGUACCUCGCGAAUGAAGUUGGCUGCCAAAAGUUUAGCCACCUCCUGUCUGAUUGCCUUCCUCUUGUGCGCGGCGGACCGACAUAGGCGUUCUCGAACGGGCCGAGCAGCAGGAUCUACAUGCAGUCGGUGCUCACCCAACUCCCUGGGUACACCUGUCAUGUCAGCAGGCUUCCAUGCAAAAAUGUCCUAGUUGUCACGGAGGAAUUGGAUGAGCUCGGCUUCCUAUUUUGGAUCAAGGGUGGUGGAGAUGUUUGUCGGAGCAGCAGUGUCGUCCGUCAGGUGGAUGUUGACUUUCUUCGUGUCUCCCGCCGACUGGAAUGCGGACUCGGAAGCUGGCUUCUUUGAACGCAUCAUGUCAGCGGGGUCGGCGGUCUUCUUGUACUCAUCCAGCUCGAGAAUAGCCAUCUGCUGAUCGGCAAUCCUCAACCCCUACUGCAGACACUCCUCGGCCCGCUGCCGAUUGCCUGUGACCGUAAUCACACCUUUGGGGCCUGGCAUCUUGAGCUUCAAAUAGACGUAACAUGGACGGGCCAUGAAACGCGCAUAUGCCGGGUGGCCCAGAAUCGCAUGGUAUGCACUCUGGAAGUCCACCACCUCGAAUGUCAGCUUCUCCUUGCGGAAGUUCUUGUCAGAGCCGAAGACGACAUCCAACGCGAUCUGGCUGAGUGAUUUGGCCUUUCUUCCUGGGACGACUCCAUGGAACUGCAUACUGCUCUCGCUAAGUUUGCACAUCAGAAUGUCCAUUCCCUUGAGAGUAUCAGCGUACAUGAUGUUCAAGCCGCUGCCGCCGUCCAUGAGGACUUUGCGCAGCCUGACUCCUUCCACCACCGGGUCGACGACCAGAGCUUGCCUCCCUGGGGUGGGUACGUGUGCUGGGUGGUCUGACUGAUCAAAGGUGAUCGCAGUCUGUGACCACUUGAGGAAUGUGGGAGUGGAUGGGGUCGCCAUGUUCACCUCCCUAUUGACCAGCUUCAGCCGACUUUUGCUUUCCACAUCAGCAAAAAUCAUCAACGUUGCAUGGACUUGGGGGAACGGAUCCUCCUCUUCGCCAUCCUGCUCGGUGUCCUUCUCACUCGGCUGUCCGUCGCCGAAUCCUUGGAUCAGGAGGCGACACUGCCGAGUGGUAUGCUUCGGCAAUAUGACAUUGCCUUCUUCAUCCAUCUUCGUGUGGAUUGGACACGGUUGAUCUAGGAUGAAGUUUCCUGACUGCCUCUUCUUGGGGGUGUACUGAGCUUUCCCCUUGCCUUUGAACUUGGCAUUCGUAACGGCUGCUGCCUCUGCCUGCGGAGUGGAUUGAGCUUUCUGCUUCUGCUUCCGAUUGUUGUUCCCAUCUCCAUCGGCGACUGACUUAUGCUUGCCGCUACGUAUGCGGUCCUCUUCUUCGCCAUUUGCAUAGCGUGCAGCUAUCUCCAUCAUCUUGCUCAUGAAGAUGUCGCCCGUCCGACCGAACUUCAGGUACAGAUCUCUGUACCGCACACGUGCCUUGAAGGUGCAGACUGCUUGAUGCUCUCUGACGUUCUCCACCAUGUGGCAGAGGGUCGUCCAGCGCUGGAUGAAAUCGCGCAAGGGCUCGUUCUGCUUCUGGACACAGUGCUGGAGCUCUACGAGACCAGCAGGGUGUUUGCACGUACCCUCGAAGGUCCUGAUGAAGACUCGGGACAGAUCUGCCCAGCUGUAGAUGCUUGACGGAGCCAAUUGGUUUAGCCAAGCUCGCGUCGAGCCAUCGAGCAUCAGGGGGAGAUGUUUCAUGGUGACGUGGUCAUCUCCGCCACCAAUCUGGACCGCCACUCUGUAGUCGUCCAACCAAGUUUCUGGCUUGGACUCUCGUGUGAACUUGCUGAUUCCCGUCGCCAAUCGGAAGUUGGGAGGGAUGUCAGCUGAGCGGAUGGCCCGACUGAAGCACUCGGGGCCAGAAACAACGGUCCUGCUUCCACUCGGACGGUCUCUGUCAUGACCAUCACGGUGGGCUCGACUUCUGUCGACCUUCUUCUGGGUGAUGUACCCUCUUGCAUCAGGCCUUGGAUCAUGCGCGUCACCGACAGAACGACGAUCAUCGUGAUGUCGGGGCCCGUAAGGCCCACCCCGCGGAGGAGUACACGAACGGCGACGAUCUUCGGGAUGAGACCGAAUGGGAAGCGGAUUCCGACUCGGGUCCCUAGAACGGCUGCCCCCUCUGCGUCGCUGGUGAGAGUCGGGACUGAAAACCGACCGAUGCGUGUUCGUAUGAAUAGAACUAUUGUGGAUCCUGUUGUGCGACUGGGAGACCGCCGAAUUUUGCUGCUGCGCCAUAUGCAACAGGGCACGGAUCUGCUCGAUCCCUCUACCAGCCUCUGGAUCAGUCCGCUGGAGAGAAUCGGUUAUCCUGGCAGCCGCAGCCAGGUUGAGGAUGGGUGUGCGGAACACCUCGACGUUGCUCUGGCGAGUGUGUCGACUGGCAGAACGAUGGUGUUGACGACGAGCGCCGGAUGAUUCUCCGACCUCAUGCUCGUUCCGACCAGUCUGGAGGAGACUUUCAUGGGAAUUGGCCAUGAGAACUUCGGCUGCAGGCCCGCGGCCUGGAUACUCGGAAGGUAGCUCAGUCGGAACUGACUCCAAGCACUGGGAUGGCGGCGGGACCACAACCGAUUCGAGCACCGCCACUUGAGAUGACGCGCUCUGUCGCGCCUGGGCGUGUCGCACCCAACGCGGGAGCCGCGGACGACGGGAUCGCCUGUUGCGGCGCGUGACGGGGCGAAGAUCGACACCGGGGUCGAUGGCUGGAGAAGAAGAACACCGCGGGAACUGGCACGGAAGUGCGUAGCCCCGCGACUGGGAAGCGCCUCGACGUCGAGGGGCGCAUCCCGAAGCCAUGCCGAAUCGUCGGUGAUGAAGGAGAGGGCACCGAAGAGGAUCUGAUGACCCAUGCACAGAUCUCCACCGGACGACAUGAUGAAAGUAUGAAAUCGCAAACUCGCCGGAAGUCGCUUAGACGCCUGCCCCACGGUGGGCGCCAACUGUCGUGGGUAUAAGUCUGACAGUAGAUGUAUGGGGUACGAAAGGAUGGGCAGAGCCUUAGCUACGGCGAGGAUGCAUGAGUUCAGGCCCCUCUAUGGUGGAGGUAAAAGCCCUACGUCUCAGUGCUCUUGGGAGCUUUAGUGUCGAGUGGAUUAUAGGAUUACAGCAAGUGCCAACCCUUGCACCAGUAGGGAAGGGCGGCUUAUAUAGAGUGUGUUGUCCUUCAUAAUGGCCCGGUGGACAGGGGUGUAAUAGUGACGAAUAAAUGCCUACGUUACAGGUAACGUAAGCCUUAAAUGCUAAUGAUGGUGUAUGAAAACGUAUGACCGUUGCCCUCCUCGGAGGUUACGAUGUACAGAGUGGAUUCCAGUCGGUACGUUAAAUAUGCUCCGAGUGGAUCGUCGCCAACUGGAUGAUGGGGGCGUCCUUAGUUCAGUCGGAACUGUCUAAGUGCCUUGUCUUGUAUGAAGGGUAGUCCUUGGGUAGGACCUAUAGGGCAGGCCUAUGAUCCUACCCUGGGACUAUAACCCCAUCAAUAUAUAUCCGUAUGUAGUCUCCUAGUGAAAUCUUUAAAAAGACUUAUAUUUAGAAACGAAGGGAGUAUCAUUUAAUUAGCUGUGCACAUGAUCCAACAAAGAUAAAGUCGAAGAAUGUUGCACUGGCUUCAGAGUAUGUCUGGUACACGGACACCGUGAAUGAGGUCCGGUGCACACGCCCUACCAUGCAUGAUCGUCCGCUGCAUACGCUAGUUGCAUGAUCUAUUGAACGACCAUACGUGAAGGUCCCCUAUAAACUAUGAAAUGGAGAGGGCUAGGGUGAGCUUAAUUAUCAUUUCUAUUAAUAUAAAAGCAUAGCCUCUGUUUGUUACAAUUACAAUUACGCUUAAGUUUGAUCAUCAUUCACCAGAACUGUCCCUUUCAGAUUAGAAACUGGUUCAACCAAGGAUUAUGGGAUUGUAUUUAUUUUAAGUGAAAACAGUUUCAUUUUUGCAAUGACAAGCAAAUUACCGUGCAAUUUAGAACCAGUAUGGAUGAGUAAUUCAAGGAAAAUGGUUUGUAUCAGUAACUCAGUAAUGUGAUUGUUAACAUGUCUAAAUGAUCUAACAAUUGCAAGCACCUUCAUUUGACUUUUCUACUCUUCUGCGCAUCAGCUUGAACAUCGAUGCCUUAAUCGAACCCGCGAUCAAACCACCAAGGCAAAGAGGAGGCAUUGUCUAAGAAAGUGGCCUAUCACCGGAGGAAAACCACGCUUUGUCAGCUCCAAAAGGCCAAAGAAUGCCAUGACGCCAUUUGUCUCCGGCUAGGGAGAAGGUCCUCUGCCCUCUCGCUCUAGUUGAGCCUGUACCAUCCGNN
rnacentral:lncRNA from 1 species